UGGGGAAUUUUGGACAAUGGGCGAAAGCCUGAUCCAGCAAUGCCGCGUGUGUGAAGAAGGCCUUCGGGUUGUAAAGCACUUUUGUCCGGAAAGAAAUCCUUGGCUCUAAUACAGUCGGGGAUGACGGUACCGGAAGAAUAAGCACCGGCUAACUACGUGCCAGCAGCCGCGGUAAUACGUAGGGUGCAAGCGUUAAUCGGAAUUACUGGGCGUAAAGCGUGCGCAGGCGGUUUGCUAAGACCGAUGUGAAAUCCCCGGGCUCAACCUGGGAACUGCAUUGGUGACUGGCAGGCUAGAGUAUGGCAGAGGGGGGUAGAAUUCCACGUGUAGCAGUGAAAUGCGUAGAGAUGUGGAGGAAUACCGAUGGCGAAGGCAGCCCCCUGGGCCAAUACUGACGCUCAUGCACGAAAGCGUGGGGAGCAAACAGGAUUAGAUACCCUGGUAGUCCACGCCCUAAACGAUGUCAACUAGUUGUUGGGGAUUCAUUUCCUUAGUAACGUAGCUAACGCGUGAAGUUGACCGCCUGGGGAGUACGGUCGCAAGAUUAAAACUUAAAUGAAUUG
rnacentral:rRNA from 1 species